rnacentral:lncRNA from 1 species
UUUCUUGGUGGGAUGCAUUGUAUACUAUUUUGUUUAUCUUGCUUUUGAGAUAUUUUUUCUUAUCAUUCAUUGUUACUAGGGAAAUUGCACCCUAUAUACAUAAAAAAAACUUAAAUACACUAACUAACCAAAAUUUCCCAUCUCUCCUACUUUCUCUUCCUAUCUCUCUACUCUCUCUCCCAAAAUCUAAUUUUCAUUUUUUUUGGGUUAUUUGGCAAAUAAGCCCUUACUAGGGAAAGUAACUUAUGUGAAAAAUGGAAAAGCCUUCGUACCUAUAUUCACAGCGUUUCCAACAGACAUGAUGUCAGACUCCGUAUAUCUCUCCUCCUUUUAGUAGGCAAAACCCCUACUAACAUGUCAUCAUAGAAUAAGUUUACCUAAAAUCAUUUCCAACGCAUAUAUAAUCAACAAAGUUUUACACCUUAAAAUAUAUGCAACAGGUAUUACAAAAAAAAAUGCAAAUAAAAUAAACAAGAAUAGUAAAAACCCACGAUAAAAAAUAUUUAAAGUUUUAAACCAUACUGAUUAGGUUUUCUUUACGAUUGUUGUGUAAUUAAUGAACCUAAAGAAAAAACUUAUUAUUGUUAAGAUCAUGCUUUGUGGUUUGUUGUUCAACCAGUUUAGUUUAUACGGACUAUCCAACUAAAACAAUACAUAAACUGGACGCUGAUUGUAUCAUACGAACGGUUCUAAAUCUGGACCAAAGACAUAUACUAGCCGGUUUAAUUCCGGUUAAGUUGUCCAAUCCUCAAUCUUUUUUUUUUGAAAAGCCAAUCUUCAAUCUUACUACACAUUACAUAUUGAUAUUAGUAUACGGUUGGCUCUCUACUCUUGCAUAACGUUUUUUUUUUUUUUUUUUUUUUUUUUUUUUUUUUUUUUUUUUUUUAACAGGAGGUUCAAAAGUGACCCGUAAUCCGCACGUGGUUUCCGUUUGCCCAAAGACCCGUAAUCCGCACAUGGUUUCCGAUUGCCAACCAUCUAAUCCCCCUGGCCCGGAACCAGCCGGCACUAAUACCCAUUACCCAAGGACCCAGCACCAACGCCGCGAUAACUUUAAACUUGGGGAGGGCGUAAAGCAUUCCGUGGCCACAUGAGGUAUUCGAACCCAGGUCCGUAUUGGUUUGUUAACUACCUCAAGACCACUAGCCCACCACCCUGUGGUUACUCUUGCAUAACGUUUCCAGAAGCAAGUCUAAAUUCUUCCAAGAGGAACCAGUCCCUUGGACCAAAGCUUCUUUUGCCAUUUUUGAAUAUUCUUUUACAUUUUCCCUUGCGAGUUUUCCGUCUCCUUCCAUUAGUUCUCGAAUCUGUAAGAUAGAAAUAUUUUUUAAACACAUAAAAAAAUUUAGAUGUCACCCUAACAUUAAAUAACUAUAAAAUUAACUUAUCGAUUUGAACCCUUUUUUGAACCUUGUGUAUUUUUUUUAGUUUGUCUUUAACAAAUAACAGAAAGAUCAUUUUCAUAAAGAUUUAUAAAAAUAAUCUAAAAAUGAAGAGUUUUCUAACAAACAGGAAAGAUAUCAAAAUAGUAAGUUGGCAUAUAUAUAUAUAUAUAUAUAUAUAUAUAUAACACAUAGAACAAGAUCUAAUUAGCUUAAAAAGACAGAAUUAACGUUGUUAUUUACCAAUAAUUCAUGUCGUAAUCUGUUCGAACUAUUAAAAUCAAAAUUAAGAAAAAAAAUUAUGUUUGCAACUUGAUUACCUUUUGACUUAAUUCCUUUCGUGUCACGAAUCCUUGCACACUCCCGUCUUGGGUUUCAACUCUUACUCCAACUUUUACCUCCUCAGCUACCAUCUUCGCGUUGAGUGGUUGAUCGGCCAUCAUUGGCCAAGCCAACAAUGGGACCCCAACGCAUAUACUCUCUUGUGCUGAGUUCCAGCCACAAUGACUCAAGAAACCUUCAACACUUUCA